GAUGAACGCUGGCGGCGUGCCUAAUACAUGCAAGUCGAGCGAACGGACGAGAGGCUUGCUUCUCUGAUGUUAGCGGCGGACGGGUGAGUAACACGUGGAUAACCUACCUAUAAGACUGGGAUAACUUCGGGAAACCGUAGCUAAUACCGGAUAAUAUUUUGAACCGCAUGGUUCAAAAGUGAAAGACGGUCUUGCUGUCACUUAUAGAUGGAUCCGCGCUGCAUUAGCUAGUUGGUAAGGUAACGGCUUACCAAGGCAACGAUGCAUAGCCGACCUGAGAGGGUGAUCGGCCACACUGGAACUGAGACACGGUCCAGACUCCUACGGGAGGCAGCAGUAGGGAAUCUUCCGCAAAGGGCGAAAGCCUGACGGAGCAACGCCGCGUGAGUGAUGAAGGUCUUCGGAUCGUAAAACUCUGUUAUUAGGGAAGAACAUAUGUGUAAGUAACUGUGCACAUCUUGACGGUACCUAAUCAGAAAGCCACGGCUAACUACGUG
rnacentral:rRNA from 1 species